rnacentral:lncRNA from 1 species
GAGAGUGUAGAGAGUGGUGUGGGGAGAGUGCAGGCUGAAGAGUUACCUAAGGUCAAAAUCCUGACCUAUGAGCCAAGCCAUCGAUUUGGGAUUUCUACUGAGGACACUGGAAGUCACUAAGAGCAUCUGAAUGGUUAUGUGAAGUUGGCAGUUCCCAAGGGCUUUAGGCUUGAAGCUGUGGGUCAUACCCCUUCGGAAACUUGGUCCCCAAGAGAAAUGUAUGCUUCUGAAAACCACAGGUGCAUGAAUCGUGUUUAGUAAAUGACUACUAAACUGAAAUCAGGACUUGUCUAUAUCUUGGCUUCUCAAACUUGAAUAUGCUUAUCAUCUGGAUAGCAAAAGCAUUCCUACACGUUGAGGCCUGCCAGCGUGGGUGUCACCCAGGAGCCACUCGGAAAGGCUCAUCGGAAACCACCCCGGACUGACUGAGGCAGAAUCUCUGGGGGCAGGACCCAGGCCUCAGCAUAAAAACUCCAGGUGACGGAAGAGCUCCCACCUAACAGUUUUUAUUUUACACGGCUCACUGUGGCUUUGACCUCCCAUGCUGAAGCGAUCCUCCUAUCUCAACCUCUCAAGUAGCUGGAAGCACAGGCAUGCACCACCACACCUGGCUAAUUUUUUUCUUCCUUUUUUAAAGAGACAGUCUUGCCAUGUUGCCCAGGCCCUGUUGACCAGGAAAAAAAAAAGUUUUUUUUCUUUUUUAAAGAAAGAAAAUAAAAGAGACUGAGAAACCACAGAAAUAAAGAAGCGCUGAUGACAAUGCCUGCUUGCUGAUGGUUACGAUGAUCAUAGCAGUGUGCAUUUUGUAUGCAUGAAGCCUGCGACUAAAUAAACGUGUGGGGAAAUAUUUGUAAGGAAAUAAGCUAUUAAUAAAAUAAGCUAAAAUCACAGUUGCUGGACUAUGACUGAUUUUUCCCCUUUCUCUCAUUUAAAAUUAAAUAUUUGUAUGACUUGUAUAAUAGAAAAAUACAUGUAUUCAAUCUUAAAAAGAUAUUCUUAUUUUACACUUUACGGGACAAAAGAGGUUGUAGGUUGGAAUGGUUCAGUCCCCUUGUGACAACUCAAAAACAGAGACCUUAAGCCUUUCUCAACCAAUGUUGCGGGACAAGCAGGCGUGUGAGGCGACAAUGCCAUUAGGGUAUUUUUUGGAAAAAUUUUAGUGUGAGAGACAAAAGCCAAAUUCAAACUGGCCUGAGCCAAAAUAGGUAGGAAAGGGAGAAGCGGAGACAGGGAGGAAGAAAGAGAGAGAACAGAAAGAAAAAGGGAGAAAUGUCGAAAGGCAAAAUUACAACACAUUUAGUUAAAUGAUUGAAUUGGUUUUUAUUUGUAAUUCAUGAAUUGGGGCAGCAUCUCCUCUAAAACUUUAGGAAAAGUGCUCUGAUGAGCUAAACAGAGAAGCUUGGCUUUAUAGGCAGAAAAGGGUGAAGAAAGCAGACACAGGGAACAAAAAGCAGAUUGGUAAGCUCAGGUUACUUCAGGUUACUUUCCUUAUAAAGGUUAAAGUAGAGGGGACUUCCUUAUCAUGCUGGCUACAACUGGCCUGUUUGGGGAUUUGCAUAUUAUCUCUCUCUGUCUUGAGUUCUGGGAAGGUCUGAUGACUUAGUUUCAGUUUGGUGAUAUGGAACUUAGCAUGAGUGACUCCAUCUUGGUUUGGUCUACUGGGGCCUCCUGCAGGAGCUCAGCCCAAAUCAGUGACCUCCUAUAAAUUUCAUUUAAUAGAAAAGGAAGGAAGGAAGGAAGGAAGGAAGGAAGGAAGGAAGGAAGGAAGGAAGGGAGGGAGGGAGGGAGGGAGGGAGGGAGGAAGGGAGGAAAGAAGGAAGGAAAGAAAGAAAGUUGCUUAUAAGUUGCUUAUAACUAAAAAGACCAGCUGGACCCAGGAGCUCUGAGGUUGCUUUCAGGCCUCUGUCCAUCUCUUAGUUUUCCAUCCUCAGACAGGCUCUGCCCUGCCUUACAGUCUAGCAUUGUUGGCCAAAGGUGACUGACUGGCCCAGCUUGGGCUAUAUGUCCUUCCCUGUGGCCAGAGAGAUGUGUCUCUGUGAUGGCCAGGCUUGGGUCACGUACUCCCUCCCCUACCAGAAUCACAUGAAAAGAGGGAGGAAGAGCCGCUUUCCACCAAAGGAAACUGAAGUGCUAUUGUCAGAGGGGUUGCUGGGCAGACCAAAAAGAUGACAAUAUCUGCUCCAAUCGCUCGGGUUGUUGGUGCUUGGCAGAUUUGCCCCUACGUCACUUUUCAGAUGUGGAUAAGACUGAAGGUGACCACAGGCUUCCGAGAGGAAAGCUGCCAAUGGGGGUGUGAGAGGAGGGGGAAUUCUUACUCACCAAGGUUAACACUGUGCACACUGUUCUCCGAGGAAGUGGGAAUUUCCACAUGGUGAGUUCCCUUCCCUGUACAAUGAAUUACUAUCUUGAUGAGAAACCCGUGGGCAGCUGGUUGAGAAGAGAAAGGUAUUCUCUGAAUGAGAGGGAAUUUACCACCUUCCUUUCAAUGGUGACAGUUUUUUCUGGUGUCACCGCAGGGUGUGGAUUGAUUCAUAUACAAAUAUACAUAUCUACAUAGAUGCCAUUCUGCUAGCCUCUGCAAAAUGCAUGCCUGGAGACCAUUUCUGCUGCCUAGGAGAUGUCAACUUUGUCACCACCACUCUCUCUCCACCACUCCCACACCCUGCAGGGGCCAGGUGUGUGGGUGGGGAGCUCCCCAGCUGGAGGCCAGAUUAGAGGUCUCUGUGUGGUGGGGAUGGGGAGGAUGGGGUGGGAAUGAGGUGGUAGGCCACUGGCAGUGGUCCAAGUUCCAUCCAGGAUCUGUCCUAGGCCUCUCCCCAGGCUGUCGCUUCCACCAUUGAAUUUCUAACCUGGAUCUCUAAGGUUAUGAAUAUCUCAUUCCCGCAUCCUGGGGUGCUCAGACAUGUCUCCCCUGAGUCUCUAGCUGGGCUCGUGGCUGUGAUCAUUGUCCUCAGAGUUCCAUCCUCCCAACAAAGGGACAGAAGAAACACAGGGCCCACUUUUCUGGAUUCUGAGUUGGAGCCAAGAAAUUCUAUCUGCUGCUUCCUUCCUGUUGAAUUAUCCCCCAAGGACCCCUUAGUCCCUCCAGUCUCCUCCAGAGGCCUAUAGCUGCCCCAGCUCCCCAUGAUGGAUACCUGGCUCUUUCCUACCCAGAGGAAAACGCAGGCCCUUCCCCAGCCCUGCACUGAACUCCUGUGAGUGGCUGAGGAGAUGAGGAGGUGUGAAGAGUGAGUGUGUUGGGGAGGGAGGGGUCCCCUGCCACCAGGUACCAAGGACUUCUGCCAGAUCACCAGAACUGACACCUGGUUCCACCGGCCAGCUGUGAAGUGUCGGCCCUGACAUCAACAGCUGACCUCCCACAGGGCCUAAGGAAACGGAAUUGUGG